CGCCCAGACUCUACGGGAGGCAGCAGUGGGGGAUAUUGCACAAUGGGGGGAACCCUGAUGCAGCGACGCCGCGUGGGUGAAGGAGCGUUUCGGCGCGUAAAGCCCUCUCGGCAGGGAAGAAGGAGGACGGUACCUGACUAAGAAGCCCCGGCUAACUACGUGCCAGCAGCCGCGGUAAUACGUAGGGGGCAAGCGUUAUCCGGAUUUACUGGGUGUAAAGGGAGCGUAGACGGAAAGGCAAGUCAGAAGUGAAAACCCAAGGCUCAACCCUGGGAGUGCUUUUGAAACUGUGCGGCUAGAGUGUCGGAGGGGUAAGUGGAAUUCCUAGUGUAGCGGUGAAAUGCGUAGAUAUUAGGAGGAACACCAGUGGCGAAGGCGGCUUACUGGACGAUGACUGACGCUGAGGCUCGAAAGCGUGGGGAGCAAACAGGAUUAGAUACCCGUGUA
rnacentral:rRNA from 1 species